AUACGGAGGAUCCGAGCGUUAUCCGGAUUUAUUGGGUUUAAAGGGUGCGCAGGCGCCCAUUUAAGUCAGCGGUUAAAUCGUGGGGCUCACCCCCAUUCUGCCGUUGAUAUUGGGUGACUUGCUUGCGUUCGAGGUUGGGGGAUUUCUUGGUGUAGCGGUGAAAUGCAUAGAUAGGACGAAGAACACCGAUUGCGUAGGCAGCUGACCAGACCGCAAAUGACGCUCAUGCACGAAAGUGCGGGGAUCGAACAGGAUUAGAUACCCUGGUAGUCCGCACAGUAAACGAUGAAUACUUGUUUUCGGCGAUAUAAUGUCGGAGGCAAAGCGAAAGCGAUAAGUAUUCCACCUGGGGAGUACGCCGGCAACGGUGAAACUCAAAGGAAUUGGCGGGG
rnacentral:rRNA from 1 species